UUACCUUAGGAUGGGAUAACCUGGGAAACUGGGGAUAAUACCGGAUAUUAGGUGAUGCCUGCAAUGGUUUGCCUUUGAAAUGUUUCUUGUAUUCGCCUAAGGAUAGAUCUGCGGCUGAUUAGGUCGUUGGUGGGGUAAUGGCCCACCAAGCCGAUGAUCGGUACGGGUUGUGAGAGCAAGGGCCCGGAGAUGGAACCUGAGACAAGGUUCCAGACCCUACGGGGUGCAGCAGGCGCGAAACCUCCGCAAUGUACGUAAGUGCGACGGGGGGAUCCCAAGUGUUAUGCUUAAUAGUAUGACUUUUCAUUAGUGUAAAAAGCUUUUAGAAUAAGAGCUGGGCAAGACCGGUGCCAGCCGCCGCGGUAACACCGGCAGCUCGAGUGGUAGCUGUUUUUAUUGGGCCUAAAGCGUUCGUAGCCGGUUUAAUAAGUCUUUGGUGAAAGCUUGUAGCUUAACUAUAAGAAGUGCUGGAGAUACUAUUAGACUUGAAGUCGGGAGAGGUUAGAGGUACUACCGGGGUAGGGGUGAAAUCCUAUAAUCCUGNGAGGACCACCUGUGGCGAAGGCGUCUAACUAGAACGAUCUUGACGGUGAGUAACGAAAGC
rnacentral:rRNA from 1 species